rnacentral:tRNA from 1 species
GUCCAGGGUAGCCUAGUGGUCGGUAAGCGGAAGGUCGUGGGUUCGAUUCCCAUCCCUUGACA